rnacentral:rRNA from 1 species
UGAGGAAUAUUGGUCAAUGGGCGAGAGCCUGAACCAGCCAAGUAGCGUGCAGGACGACGGCCCUAUGGGUUGUAAACUGCUUUUAUAUGGGGAUAAAGUGAGCUACGUGUAGUUUAUUGCAGGUACCAUAUGAAUAAGGACCGGCUAAUUCCGUGCCAGCAGCCGCGGUAAUACGGAAGGUCCAGGCGUUAUCCGGAUUUAUUGGGUUUAAAGGGAGCGUAGGCCGCCCCUUAAGCGUGUUGUGAAAUGCCGCGGCUCAACCGUGGCACUGCAGCGCGAACUGGGGGGCUUGAGUGCACGCAACGAG